UGAUGGCUGCUUUGUGCACUGAGGAUUGUUUCCUCUGAUUUUACAGAGGUAACAGUGAAGGAAGGUGAGAAUGAGUGCAGGAUUUUUUGCUGGAUGAGGAUUAGGUUGAGAUUUCUCUCCAUGAACCUAUGGGAAAACAGAAUCAUGAAGCCUGAAAUUCUCAAACAAAUUGUGGGGCAGUCUUCUGAGUUUAAAUGCUUCCUGGAAAGACUUUCUGAAAAAUGAGCAGCCAAGUAGGAGAAACUGGCUUCUGGAGGGAUGAACGAAUAAAUGCAAUCUCUUCAACUUCAUUCAUGAGGACUCAUGAGCUGAGCAAGGAAUCAGAAAGGCAUCUUUCCACAUGAGACAGGUCCUAGAUAUGAAAGAGUACAGUGCUCUGCCUCUUUCUGCCCCUCUACAAACCCUUCCCUGCUUUCUGAAGGAUGGAGAGCCCCCAUGGGAGAGGGGUCCAGCAUGAUGCAGUGGAGGAUGCUGUCUAUACCCCAGUGUUUGCUCUGCUCUUCCUUAUUCUCUGCUGUUUGCAAAGUAGGGCUGAGAUGGCUUCUCUGAUAAAGGAUCCUUCCCAGACACAAAGAAGGAACAAUUCCAGGCCACUUUGCAAGUCACUGGGAGCAAAACGUAGCCCCUGCACCUUGUGAGGGGUGUAAAGCGUGUCUGAUUGCUUAGUCUUCAGCAGGAGGCAGCUUGGGGUGAACCAUUCCUGCUGCUUUGCCACUAUUAAGAUCCAGCAGUACCUUGAUGUUUCCUCACUGGCAAUAAUUUGCAGGAUUAAAUACUUCAAGCCACUCUAAAAUUAGUUCCAGGAGGCAUUUUUUGCUUUCAUUUCAGAGCUCUCGUGAGCCUUUCCUACUCUGUAAAUCUGCUACAGCUAAUUACCUGAUGGUUACUGUGCUCUAGAAGAUUUCAAAUAUCUGUCUUUUCCACAGCUCUAAAGACCCAGGUGGGGUUGCAGCACAAAACUUGUACCAGGAGUGUUUGACAACAGCUGUAAUGAGCUCAGACAGCUUCAUGAGAUGGGCAAAUAAACCACUGCAAACAAAAUUGCCUUUGUCCACUGUGUCCAUUCAAGAUUCAAAGCAAACUUAUUUUUGAGCCUUUAAAAACAUCUUAGCCAUUGAAAGUAAUUCUUUUUUGUCUUGAGCUCUCUUCAUCUCU